rnacentral:rRNA from 1 species
GACGAACGCUGGCGGCGUGCCUAAUACAUGCAAGUCGAACGCUUCUUUCCUCCCUUGUGCUUGCACUCUAUUGGAAAGAGGAGUGGCGGACGGGUUAGUAACACGUGUUUAACCUACCCAUCAGAUUGGGAUAACACUUGCAAACAGGUGCUAAUACCUCAUAACAGUUUAUUCCGCAUUGCAUAAGAGUGUUCGGCGCUUUCGGGUGUCGCUGAUGGAUGGACUCGCGGUGCAUUAGCUAGUUGGUGAGGUAACGGCUCACCAAGGCCACGAUGCAUAGCCGACCUGAGAGGGUGAUCGGCCACACUGGGACUGAGACACGGACCAGACUCCUACGGGAGGCAGCAGUAGGGAAUCUUCGGCAAUGGACGAAAGUCUGACGGAGCAACGCCGCGUGAGUGAAGAAGGUUUUCGGAUCGUAAAACUCUGUUGUUAGGGAAGAACAAGGACGUUAGUAACUGAACGUAGCAUGACGGUAACUAACCAGAAAGCCACGGCUAACUACGUG